CCCCAGCAGUGACACUCUGACUCUUGCGUAGGCAGCACUUGAAAACAUACUCUGCAGGAGAUUAGGAACAUCAGGUCUCCUCAUUUCAGUCUACCCGUUCAUAAGAGCAUGGUUCAACUUCCAUCACAUACUGCCCAAUAUAGGCAACUUCAGAGUGCACCCCAUGGCUACAAAUUCAAAUCCAGCCGCU
rnacentral:lncRNA from 1 species